CCAAUAGCGUAUAUUAAAGUUGUUGCAGUUAAAAAGCUCGUAGUUGAAUUUCGGGAUCAAGGGAUCGGUCAUGCCUUGGUAUGUACUGGUUUUAUUGGUUCUCACCUUCUAAAGAACCAUAAUGUCAUUUAUUUGAUGUUAUGGGGAAUUAGGACUGUUACCUUGAAAAAAUUAGAGUGUUUAAAGCAAGCUUACGCUUGAAUACAUUAGCAUGGAAUAAUGAAAUAGGACAUCAGAUUCUAUUUUGUUGGUUUCUAGGAUCGAUGUAAUGAUUAAUAGGGAUAGUUGGGGGCAUUAGUAUUCAAUUGUCAGAGGUGAAAUUCUUGGAUUUAUUGAAGACUAACUACUGCGAAAGCAUUUGCCAAGGAUGUUUUCAUUAAUCAAGAACGAAAGUUAGGGGAUCGAAGACGAUCAGAUACCGUCGUAGUCUUAACCAUAAACUAUGCCGACUAGGGAUCGGAUGAUGUUAAUUUUUUAAUGACUCAUUCGGCACCUUACG
rnacentral:misc_RNA from 1 species